rnacentral:rRNA from 1 species
UACAGGGGGGGCAAGCGUUGUUCGGAAUUACUGGGCGUAAAGGGCCAGUAGGCGGCCGACUAAGUCCGACGUGAAAUCCCCAGGCUUAAACCUGGGAACUGCGUCGGAUACUGGUUGGCUUGAAUUCGGGAGAGGGAUGCAGAAUUCCAGGUGGUAGCGGUGAAAUGCGUAGAUAUCUGGAGGAAUACCGGUGGCGAAGGCGGGUCUCUGGGGCCGAUACUGACGGCGAGGAGCGAAAGCGUGGGGAGCGAAACAGG